rnacentral:lncRNA from 1 species
CACCGUUCUAUGUCGGUGAGAAGCAUGUCAGAGAAUAAAAAGGAGAAAGUGAAUGUUAGACCCAGUACUCCUAUCUUCUGAGGAUGAGCACAGAUCUUCCAGGUCCGAAGGUCAAAAAGAUGAUGUCAAACAGCCCUGGUGGAUGGGGAAAAGUCUUUGGCUUAGAAAUGCUGGAGUGAUUUGAGAGGGACUGCUCUCCACUUGAUAAAUCACGUCUCGUGACAGCUCCAGGGAAGUCUAUGGGAACAGUAGCUGCUGAGCUCUGUGCCAGAUCCGGCGGCUUCUGUAUCAGAAAGACAUAGUCCAGAGGAUGCCACAUGGGAGUCAAAAGAGCGAGAGUUACAGGAAGGAUGAGUCAGAAGCGAGCCGGGGUGAACAACAGUCAUCUGUUCCUUGAGACAUGCCGAGGCGCUGGAAUCACACUGUCCCACCACGCGACGCCUGCUCCUUUCCUGAGCCCACCCUGACUGCCCUGCAGAGCUACCGAAUUGUUUUUCUUUUUUAAUCACUUGGGAAGAGGAUAAUUGGAAAUAAAUGAAGAAUUACACUCACUAAAGUAAGAUGUAAUUUCUGGGAAUCGAGAUGACAGAACAAAAGUUCAUGACCAUGAGACAUGGUAGAUGUGAAAACUGAGUUAUUGACGUUUGAAGGAUCUGUUACAGCUAGAUGCUCAGACUGUGCAGAUAAGGUUUGCAACUUUAAACUGGCGCUUAGAAGAGGACUCUUCAACAGGGGUCCCCAGCUUCCGGGCCAUGGACUGGUUCUGGUCAAUGGCCUGUUAGGAACAACUACACAGCAGGAGGUGAGCAGUGGGAGAUCUAGCAAAUCUUCAUCUGUAUUUACAGCCGCUCCCCAUUGCUCACAUUACUGCCUGAGCUCUGCCUUCAUUCUGAUCAGCGGCGACAUUAGAUUCUCAUAGGAGCAAGAACCCUAUUGUGAACUCCACAUGCAAGGGGUCUAGGUUGCAUGCUCCUUAUGAGAAUCUAAUGCCUCAUGAUCUAUCUCCCAUCACCCCCAGAUGGGACCAUCCAGCUGCAGGAAAACAAGCUAAGGGCUCCCACUGAUUCUACAUUAUGGUGAAUUGUAUAAUUCUUUCACUAUAUAUUACAAUGUAAUAAUAACAGAAAUAAAGUAC